rnacentral:rRNA from 1 species
UACGUAGGGUGCAAGCGUUGUCCGGAAUUAUUGGGCGUAAAGGGCUCGUAGGCGGUUCGUCAAGUCGGGUGUGAAAUCUUGGGGCUUAACCCCAAGCCUGCUUCCGAUACGGGCGGACUAGAGGUAGGCAGGGGAGAACGGAAUUCCUGGUGUAGCGGUGAAAUGCGCAGAUAUCAGAAGGAACACCGGUGGCGAAGGCGGUUCUCUGGGCCUUACCUGACGCUGAGGAGCGAAAGCGUGGGGAGCGAACAGG